UACGUAGGUGGCAAGCGUUGUCCGGAAUUAUUGGGCGUAAAGCGCGCGCAGGCGGUCUCUUAAGUCUGAUGUGAAAGCCCACGGCUCAACCGUGGAGGGUCAUUGGAAACUGGGAGACUUGAGUGCAGAAGAGAAGAGCGGAAUUCCACGUGUAGCGGUGAAAUGCGUAGAGAUGUGGAGGAACACCGGUGGCGAAGGCGGCUCUUUGGUCUGUAACUGACGCUGAGGCGCGAAAGCGUGGGGAGCGAACAGG
rnacentral:rRNA from 1 species